CACACAAACGUUCUGAUAUUCAAAAUUCACCUCCCACCGUAGAGUACAGAAUCAACCAUCGAAGAUCCACUUGUAAACAUACCUAUCUCGCAAAGUCCGUGGUGCGUUCCCAACAUCAUCUCACUCCCAUGAAAGUCCAAAGGCGACAAAUCUGGUAACAUUGCAUCUCCGCUUAGGUAAUGUAACACUUGUCUCAUCGUUGGUCUAGCCUGGGGGUUGGAGUGAGAGCACAACAAACCUAGCUUCAAAACCAUUUCAACCUCUCUUUGGUCAUACUCUGUCCCUAGACUUGGAUCCUUAGCAUCCAAAAUGUUUCCCACAUUCCAAAACUCAAAAACCCAAUCCACGAGCAAGACACACUCGUAAUCAAUCUCGAUAGGACGUCGACCGCACGCAACUUCUAGUAGGAGCACCCCAAACGCAAAAACAUCGGUAGCGGUCGUGGCCUUUCCUGUCCUCAUGAGGUCGGGGGCUAGGUAUCCCCAUGUUCCAGCGACGCGAGUGGUUUGAAGAUCUGUGCCGUGACCGCACAACCGAGCUAAACCGAAAUCUCCGAGUCUCCCAUUGUACUCUGCAUCUAAUAUGACGUUGCUGGCUUUGAUGUCGCGGUGAAUCACCACUUGUUCCCAGUCGUCGUGGAGGAAGAAUAAGGCAGAUGCCACACCUUUAAUGAUUGCAAUUCUCUGUUUCCAGUCGAGGGUAACCUCUGGAUUAUCAUUAUACAAAUAUUUAUCUAAGCUUCCAUUGGGCAUGUAGUCGUACACCAGAAGAAGCUCUUUUCUCGUGCGACAAUAACCCAAAAGAGGGACUAAGUUCCGGUGGCUCAUCCGACCAAUAGUCACGAUCUCAGACACAAACUCUUUCAACCCUUGUUGGGAUUGGUCCGACACUCUUUUCACGGCGAUCUCUUUCUUUGUCUUGGGCAUGACACCUUUGUAAACGCUCCCAAACCCGCCAGAUCCGAGAAGGUUCUUCUCCUUGAAUCCUUUGGUGGCAUAGUACAAGUCUUUGAACUUCAACCGGGUUUUCUUGAACUCUGUUUCCCAAUCUUCUAGCUUCUCUGCGAACUUUCUCCUCCUCAUUAAGAUGAACCGCACAAGGAAGAUGAAAGAAAAGAUAAUGACGAGUGUAAUUAUCAACACUACAAUAAACAACACAACAAACACUGUGGUUCUACUUGUACCGUACUGAUAUUUCGGAAGUCUAUGCAAGUCUAACGGAGGAGCUUCCCCCUUCACCUGGAAACUCCACCCAAGGAUAACAUGUUCCGACCUAACGGAACCGGUUGAAGACGAGAAACCUACGAACAUAUCUUGCAAAAAAACCGGGGAUAGAUUUCUAACAGCAGAGACAAGCGGUUUUGUAGGUUUGUCAUGAUUGAAAGGAGACAUUGUUACGUUGAUCCGAUGUGUAAAACCAUCGUAGUCAACCCAAACCUGCAUCCGCUCUUCACUGUUCAAAGUAAGGUUUUCAAACUGACCUGUCUCGUUCCAUAUUAGAGUAUAAGACUGGUUAUCAUGAUAGUAAGAUUGAACCGGUGGUUUACUUGUAUAGAUCGGAUAGUAUGAUAGUAUAAAUACAUGUACAAUACACUGUAAAGAAAAGGAUGAAAUACAUAUUUUUCUACUUUCUAAUCGUAACAAACUCAUCUUCUUCAUCUUGAGCUCAAGCUCUAAUAUGGUAUCAGAGCAAUGAUAUUCGCGUUUCUCGCUUCGUCUUCUUCGAUCUGAGCUUCGUCUUCUUCGAUUCUUUGCUCAGAUUCGAUUCCGCUUCGAUUGAUGUCAUGAGUCUCUCGUUUUCUGUUAUCAUCUUCAUCGACUCGCUGUUCUUCGCCUUCUUUGCGCUCUAUCACUUCUUCUCGGUGGUUUUUGCGCUUCUUCUUUCACUUUCUUGGUGAUUCUCGUUCGUUGAUCGUUGCUUGGUGAUCUCGGAAUCUUGAUCCUCUGAUUCAUCUUUUGUUCACCAUGCCGAUCUCUUAUGCGAAUGCUGUUAACAAUACUCCGACGUCGGCGUCGAAUCCUCACACGACGGUGCCUCGUUCGGAGCCUACGGCGUCUAUUCAAGAUCCGAACUCCAAUCCUCUCUACGUUCAUCAUGCUGAUCAUGCUGGUAUUGCUCUUGUUUCUGAGAAGCUAGCUGGUUUAGGCAAUUUCAAUACUUGGCGUCGAUCUAUGCUUAUGGCGUUAGGAGCUCGGAACAAAGCUGUUUUUGUUGAUGGAACCUUUCCGGAAUUGCGUGAUGAUCAUCCGGACUUUGCAUCUUGGUCAAGAUGCAACAACAUUGUGUGUACAUGGAUUGUCAAUGCCGUUGAGAAGUCUAUAGCGAAGAGUAUUAUGUAUCUAGAUACAGCUCGUCAAAUGUGGCUUGAUAUCCAUGAUCAGUUUAAGCAGAGUGAUGGACCAAGGAAUGCUGACAUUAAACAACAGAUCUUUGCUGAAGUUCAAGGCUCACAGAGUGUGAGUGACUACUACACCAAACUGAAGCAGUUGUGGGAAGAGCUGAAGAAUCAUGAGAGUCCAUACACAUGCUGCUGUAAUCGUUCAGACUGUUCCAGUCUCAAACGAAUCCUACAACGUGAUGAGCAAGAUAAGAUCCUGAAGUUUCUCACCGGCUUGAAUGAUACUUUUACAGCGACAAGAGGACAGAUUCUUAUGAUGGAGCCUCGUCCAAACAUUUCUAAAGUAUUCAACUUGGUGUCACAGGAAGAGAGGCAACGUUCCAUGAAGAGUACUAGUAAUGUUGCUUUCAGUGUUUCUCAGAACACAACUCCUGAUGAUAAUGUUGUUGCUGCGUAUAAUGCUGGAUACUCAAGGAACAAGAAUCGUCCUAUAUGCUCUCACUGUGGAAUUGCUGGUCACACCAUUCAACGUUGCUACAAACUCCAUGGCUAUCCUCAAGGCUAUAAGCAGUCGCCGAACUACAAUGCCAGGGCUCAGGGUCAGACUUCUAAACCGUCGAAUAAUCCUCCCCGCCAAGAGAAUGUAGCUAACAUGGUAGUACAAGAUACGGGUGGUAUCUCCUUACACAAUCAACAGGGUGUUUGUUUGGGGACAGUCACAUCUGAACAAGUGCAUCAGCUUCUAAGCGUCUUGAACAACCCUAUCAAUGAUCAGCUCUCUCAGAUUUCUGGCAGCACGAUUUGUCUCGCAGAUGGAACAACUUCUUCACCUAAACCACAACCUCACCUCUUACCCCAUACAUCUUCAUCCCCACCAUCAGGUACACAUAUUCCUUCUCAUUUUAUUUCUGCGGGAAUGAAGAAUGGCCUUACUUAUACGCAUGCUGCUUGGAUUAUUGAUACGGGUGCUAGCUGUCAUGUUUGUGCUGAUUUGACCAUGUUUCAUAGUACACAAACCAUUAGUGAUACUGUUGUGACUCUCCCUGAUGGUAGUAGAAUCCCUGUCACGGUUUCUGGCACGAUCAUUCUUUCUCCAAAACUAACUCUCACUAACGUUUUGUAUAUCUCAGAAUUUAAGUUCAACCUUCUUAGCAUUAGUGCCCUUACUUGGAAUAGCGCUAUCUCUGUUUUGUUUUCUUCGAACUCGUGCUACAUUUUUUCUGAAAAUCCUUUUAUUGGUCAGGAGCAUAUUCAGGACUUCAUGAUUGGGAAGGGUAACCUCCAAAGCAAUCUGUAUGUCCUGGACACUCCUUGUUCUUCUUCUCAGUUUGAAGCACUUUCGGUUUCACAAAACAAUCCUCACGUUUGGCAUCAAAGACUCGGACAUCCUUCUUUCAGCAAACUUCAAAUUCUUUCAAAACUUCUUCGUUUAUCACAUUGUAAAGAUAAUCAUGAUAGUCUUUGUCAAGUUUGUCCCCUAGCUAAACAAAAACGUAUGUCUUUUCCUUCAAAUCCUCAGCUUUCGAAUUCACCAUUUGAUUUGGUUCAUCUUGAUGUUUGGGGUCCUUUUCAAGUUCCAACUCAUGAAGGGUACAAAUAUUUCUUUACAAUUGUUGACGAUUGUACUAGAGUGACUUGGGUUUACUUGCUUAAAAAUAAAAGUUCUGUUUCAACUGUCUUCCCUGAGUUUUUACAUCUGAUUCAUACUCAAUAUAACUCUAAGAUCAAGGCCAUUAGAUCAGAUAAUGCACCAGAAUUAGCUUUCACAGAUCUUCUAACAGAAAAUGGGAUUGAGCACUAUUUUUCUUGCCCUUAUACUCCUCAGCAAAACUCAGUUGUCGAAAGGAAACAUCAACACAUCUUAAAUGUGGCUAGAGCUUUACUUUUUCAAUCAAAAGUUCCUUUGAUCUAUUGGGGAGAAUGCAUUCAAACAGCUAUAUACUUAAUAAAUCGAACUCCUUCUCCUUUGUUACAAAACAAAUCACCUUUUGAGCUUUUAAUACAUAAAGUUCCUUCUUAUGAUCAUUUACGUAUUUUUGGCUGCUUAUGCUACACAUCUACCCUACAAAAAGAUCGUAAUAAGUUUUCUCCUCGAGCUAAUCCAGGUGUUUUCCUUGGUUAUCCACAUGGGUACAAAGGUUAUAGGGUUCUUGAUACAACGACUAACAGAAUCAUCAUUUCUAGAAAUGUAGUUUUUCAUGAAUCAUCUUUUCCAUUUGCAAAAGACUCUACUAAUCUAGAUGCUGAGAAUUCUUUGUUUGAUCAAGAUGUGUUACCUAUGCCUGUUCCAGAUUCAUCCUUUCCUGCCUUCUUUGACUUAGGAUCUGAGGUUCCCUCUUCGGUUUUCGUUGACCAAAAUACAAUGUUUUCUUCUCCACCUACGCCUCAUGUUCCUCAUUCAUCUCCUUUACAAUCUUUUGUACCUCAUGAUUCUCCUAACUCUUUAGCACCUCUUGUCUCUCGUCCUAACUCUACUACUUGCACUUCUUCUAUUCCUAGUUCUUCCUCUGUUCCAUUAGUACCAUCGGGAGUUUCUAGGACUGAAACAAGGUCAAAAAGGCAGACUAAAGCACCUGCAUAUCUUGACAAGUAUCAUUGUUAUUUGUUAGAUCAUUCUUCUGAGAUUCCUGUGCAUUCUACCCAUACUACUUCAUAUCCUAUUUCUUCAUUCCUUUGUUAUGAUAAGUUUGAUCCCGAACACAGAAAUUUUAUCCUUUCUAUCACUACCCACAAAUUACCCAAAACCUAUGCUGAAGCUGUUCUGUCUGAUGAGUUCAAACGAGCUAUGAAAUCUGAAAUGGGUUCUCUUGAAGAUACUGGUACUUGGACAGUUUGCGACCUACCCCCAGGGAAACAUCCCGUUGGUUGUAAGUGGGUCCACACGAUCAAAUACAACCCUGAUGGCACGAUUGAGAGACACAAGUCCCGGCUUGUUGCGAAAGGCUAUACACAGUUAGAGGGACUUGAUUACUUGGACACUUUCUCCCCUGUUGCCAAAAUUGGCACUCUGCGUUUACUUCUGAGUCUUGCUGCUGCAAAAGAUUGGUCGAUAACACAGCUGGAUAUCAGUAAUGCAUUUCUCAAUGGAGAUCUAGAUGAAGAGAUAUAUAUGCGAUUGCCUGAAGGUUAUGAAGAUUUAACAGGCAAGAAAUGUCCUCCAAAUUCUGUUUGCAAGCUCCAUAAGUCUCUCUAUGGACUCAAACAGGCGUCUCGCCAAUGGAACCAGAAGUUAUCAAGUGUAAUUCUUGGAGAUGGGUUUACACGAACACACUCGGAUCAUUCCUUGUUCAUCAAGUAUGUCAACAAGGUGUUUUUGGCAGUUCUUGUGUAUGUUGAUGACAUUCUCAUUGUGGCGAAUGAUGAUUUGGCUACUACUCAGUUCAAAGAGGUUCUGCAGUCUGCUUUCAAGUUGAGAGAUCUUGGUCCAGCGAAAUAUUUUUUGGGCUUUGAGAUUGCUAGAAACAAGACUGGGAUUUCUUUGAAUCAACGCAAGUAUACUCUUGAGUUACUUGAGGAGGCUGGAUUAUUGGGUUGUAAGCCUCUUUCGGUUCCUAUGGAACCUAACCUCAAGCUAUCAACAACAACUGGUACUCGUCUUCCUGAUGCUUCUAUAUAUCGAAGACUUGUGGGCAGGUUGUUGUAUUUGACACAUACGCGACCGGAUAUCACAUAUGCAGUUCAUAAGUUGAGCCAGUACAUGUCUGCUCCUACUGAUGCUCAUCUUCAAGCUGCAUUUCGUGUUCUUCGUUAUUUGAAGAAUGAUCCAGGUCAAGGACUUUUUUACUCAACAACGUCUACACUGAAGCUUACUGCUUACUCGGAUGCAGACUGGGCAGCUUGUCCUGAUUCACGACAAUCAAUCACUGGUUACUGUGUCUUCCUUGGGGAUUCUUUGAUUUCUUGGCGAUCCAAGAAGCAACCAACUGUAUCAAGGAGCAGCUCUGAAGCAGAGUACAGAGCCAUGGCAGAUGCUACUUGUGAACUCGUGUGGUUAACUGCGAUAUUGACUGAGAUGCAUUGCUCUCCCUCUGUUCCUGCGACUCUCUUUUGUGAUAAUCAGUCUGCACUAUACAUCGCGUCGAAUCCUGUCUAUCAUGAGCGGACAAAACACGUUGAGAUCGACUGCCAUGUGGUUCGAGAGAAGCUACAGAGUGGUUUUUUGAAGACUCUACAUGUUCAUUCUGCACUACAGCUAGCUGACAUUUUAACCAAGGCGGUCCAACCUGCUCUGUUCAAGUCAUUACUCAGCAAUAUUGGUAUCCACAGCUUGUGUCUUCCAUCUUGAGGGGGGGGUAUUAGAGUAUAAGACUGGUUAUCAUGAUAGUAAGAUUGAACCGGUGGUUUACUUGUAUAGACCGGAUAGUAUGAUAGUAUAAAUACAUGUACAAUACACUGUAAAGAAAAGGAUGAAAUACAUAUUUUUCUACUUUCUAAUAGUAACAAACUCAUCUUCUUCAUCUUGAGCUCAAGCUCUAAUAUUCCAGUACCCCGCCGGUGAAUUUUUCACUGGAUACAACCCGUUGAUAUUGAUUCCGAUAGUGUUAUCGUUAAUAUCAGUGUGCUCUGUAUUGUGAAUCGUGUUUAAUUCAACAGCGAAUAUAUCAUUUGUUUCAUUACGUGUGAUAUUGGGACUGAAGAGCCCGAGGUGUUCGGAGCUGAAAUUGGCGACCGGAAGGACGAAGUUAGGAGCCACGACAAAGGCGAUGCCGUGGCCGUUAAGUGUCUUGAACACGGAGCGGAUGGCGAAGACAAACGUUGUGGAGAAAGACGAGACGGUGCCGUUUGGAGAGUCUUUGAACCGAAUUGGUUGGUUAUAGAAGGCGUGACCGGUUCCUUGCCCUGUAUAAUAAUCGGUUAGCUUUAGUAGACCCCUGGGUAUGACGCUGGCGAUCCCUUGGAGGGUUAUGUUAGCAGUCAAUGGAGGAUAGAAGCCAUUGUAAAUGAAGUUGUCGAGAGAUUGGGAAGAGGAUUUUUGGAGUUGAGAGAGUAGACAGACGAAGAAGAAGACGAUGGUGAGGAGCUUCACGAACAUGGCUAUCUAUUUUUUUCUCUAUGAACUUUUUUUUGGUAUGUGUUUGAGAUUCUGAGAAAUCAAGUCAAUUUAUGGUGUGGAGAGAAAGUAGAAAAAUCGUAUUUCCCCAUAGGGAAAAUUCGUAGCUUAACCUUAAUGCAAAGACUUCAGUGCUUGACCUAUUGGUUUCGCUGUCACAGAUAAUAGUAACAGGAGAUUAUAUCAAGUGGGUGGAUGGGUAAAUAUUUUAAAAGAUUCUAACUACAAAAUACUGACAAAAUUCACUGAAAACUAUAUAGCCGUGUUGAUUAUUUUAAUGGUUUCGAUUUCUACAAAUAGUAAAAUUAUACUGCUGAGAACUUUUAAAGAGUUUCUCCAAUCACUGGAGAUGCUCUACGUCCGUACCCCUGAUAACUCAUCCGACCGAUACUCACCAACUGUGUGGAGGAGUGUGGAAAAGUCUUCGUCAAGGGAAAAGUCGUCACCAUAAUUAAAUUUAACUCGUUUUAGAAUCCAUGGUGGAAAAUUAAUACAAGACUUUGGAUUGGUAUUAGAAAGACGCACAAAUUAGAAAAUGAUAUUUUUGGUCUUUUCCCGUUUAACUCGGUUUAGAAUCCAUGGUGGAAAAUUAAUACAAGACUUGGAUGCUUGACCAUCCUCGGUUCCCUGUCAAAGAUGAUAAGAACGAGCGAUCAAAUCAACGAUGUACAUUUGGCUCGCAAUAGAAUGAUUUUGCCUAAUUAUUGUCCAGUAAGGAUCAAUGUUCCAAAAUGCAGAAUAGGCGAAUGUUUAGACGUCGUCUAGGAGUAGGGCAGGACCAUCCCGAUUUCAUGUUAUUGAGUGUGUGUUUAUACUGAUCUAAACAAUUCGGGCACAUAAAAACGUUUAUACGUCUAGGUGAAGGCAUAAGCGAAUUUUGAGUAUUUAUGUUAAAAACAUAUUUGCCUAGACCAUUUUGCAAUAAUCGCUAAAGGCUUGUAUACUGCUAAACGAACGCAUAAUGCAUUUUAGAAGAUGUUCCAGCACCUUAAGGCUACAUGCCAGACACGAGACCCUAGACAAGCAGAGUAAAACCAGAGUCAUUGAUCAGAAGUGAACUGCUACGAAUGUUUCUGCCUCUUGUUAUUCGAACAUGCUGAAAAGGACUCUUGGUCUGAGAAAUAAAUGGGAUCUGAUGCCUCUUGUUAAACAAGAUUGAAAUACAAGGUAAUACUGAAUGUUAUGUUUCUUAUUGAUUGAUUUCACCAUACACACAUAAGGUCUCCUAACUAGACCGAAGGAUAACAAACAUACCACAUGAUAUGUUUGUUAUCCUCCCAAAUUAUAUGCCUAAGCAGUUAUUUGGGUGGUUUGGCCUCGGGGUCGGUCCUAAUAUACCAUUUAAAAAAAAACGCUGACAACUAUGAACAGAACUUACUCUAAGCUAGGAAGACUUAUUUUUGUAACUUGACAAGCAAACAACUGGUAACCAACGGCUUUAUUCUAAAAAAAUCAGAACAUAGUACGUAUGUUCAGAAUGUUUCAGUUCAACCUACAACACCGAAGGCGAGAAAUCAGAACAUAGUACGUAUGUUCAGAUUGUUUCUUUCUAUAUAUAAAGUGCUAAACGACGCACUGCACACUCUUCAGAACUCACCUCCCGCCAGACAGUAGAGAGUUAGUCACCGAAGAAGAUCCACCGGUAAACAAGCUUGAUUUUUAACAUAUUUUAAAGUUAUUUAAAUAUCUGAGAGUAUUUUAAAGAUUUUUGUAGUUUGUAUUUACAAGUUCAUAAAGUUUCAUUUAUUUCACGUACAACAUGCUCCCAUAUCUCAUGCGGUUAGUACUUUUCUAUAGUUUUUAAUGUAAGGGACACAAACAUUUUGAUAUUCAAAAAUCACCUCCCACCGGAGAGUACAGAAUCAACCAUCGAAGAUCCGCAUGUAAACAUGCCUAUCUCGCGAAUUCCCAACAUCAUCUCGUUCCCAUGCAAUUCCAAAGGCGAGAAAUCUGGUAACAUUGCAUCCCCGCUUACGUAAUGUAACACUUGUCUCAUCGUUGGUCUAGCCUGGGGGUUGGAGUGAGAGCACAACAAACCUAGCUUCAAAACCAUUUCGACCUCUCUUUCGUCAUACUUUGUCCCUAGAUUCGGAUCCCUAGCAUCCAAAAUGUUUCCCUCAUUCCAACACCCAAAAACCCAAUCCACGAGCAAGGCCCUCUCACCACUCUCGUUAUCAAUCUCGAUAGGACGUCUACCGCACGCAACUUCUAGUAGGAGCACCCCAAACGCAAAAACAUCGGUAGCGGUCGUGGCCUUUCCUGUCCUCACGUGAUCUGGGGCUAAGUAUCCCCAUGUUCCAGCAACGUGAGUGGUUUUAUGAUCAAUACCGUGAUCGCACAACCGAGCUAAACCGAAAUCCCCAAGCCUCCCAUUGUAGUCUGCAUCUAGUAAGAUGUUGCUGGCUUUGAUGUCGCGGUGAAUCACCACUUGCUCCCAGUCCUCGUGGAGGUAGAACAAGGCAGAUGCCACCCCUAGAAUGACUUUAAUUCUUUGUUUCCAGUCGAGGGUUACCUCUGGACUAUGGUACAAAUACUUGUCUAAGCUUCCAUUUGGAAUGUACUCGUACACCAGUAGAAGCUCAUUUUUCCGUCGGCAAUAACCCAAGAGAGGGACUAAGUUUCGGUGACUCAUCCGACCAAUAGUCACGAUCUCAGACACAAACUCUUUCAGCCCUUGUCGGGAUUCGUUCGACACUCUUUUGACGGCGAUCUCUUUCUUUUUCAUGACACCUUUGUAAACGCUUCCAAACCCGCCGGAUCCGAGAAGGUCACUGAAUCCUCUGGUGGCAUAGUACAAGUCUUUGAACUUGAGCCGGUUCUUCCUGAACUCUGUUUCCCAAUCUUCCAACUUCUCCGAAAACUUUUUCCUCCUCCUUAAGAUGAACCGCACAAGGAAGAUAAUCGAAAAGAUAAACACAAUAAGGGGAGCCACAGACACUGGAAUAAACACGGAAGUAAACGGGGAGAUUGAUCCAGAUGUCCUGGGCUGCCACUCUCGAAAUUCUGGAAGUCUAUGUAAGGCUAACGGGGGAGCUUUCCCUUCAGGCGAAAACUCCACCCAAGGACAACAUGUUUUGUCUUAACCAAACCAGUUGAAGACGAGAAACCUACGAACAUAUCUUGCAAAAAAACAUGGGAUAGAUCCCUGACAGUAGAGACAAGAGGUUUUAUAGGUUUAUCAUGGUUGAAAGGAGCCAUUGUUACGUUGAUCUGAUGGGUACGACCAUUGUAAUCGACCCAAGCCUGCAUGGGCUUACCACUGAUCAAAGUAAGCUCCUUAAACCGACCUUUCUCGUCCCAGUACCCCGCCGGCGAACUUUUCACUGACUUCAAGCUGUUGAUAUCGAUCCCGACAUGGUUAUCAUUCGUGUCAUCGAACUCGUUAUUCUGAAUCGUGUCUAGUUCAACAGCGAAUAUAUUGUUCGUUUCGUUUCCGUUGUUCAUGAGGUUGAAGAGUCCUAGGUAUUGUCCGGAUCUUGCGGACGGGAGGGUGGAGGUGGGAGCCACGACAAAGGCGAUGCCGUCGCCGCCAAGUGUCGGAAUCUGCGAGUGGAUGGCGAAGACAAAUGUUGUGGAGAAGGACGAGGCGGCGUCGUUUGGUGAAUCUUUGAACCGGAUUGGUCGGGUGUAGAAGGCGUGACCGGUUUGGUGCGACGUUGAAUUUGUUAGCGUCAGUAGAUCGCUGGGUGUGACGCUGGCGAUCCCUUGGAGGGAUAUGAGGUUUAAUGGAGGAUGGAAGCCAUCGUAAGUGAAGUUGUCGAGAACUUGGGAAGAUGAUUUUAUGAGUAGAAUGACGAAGAAGACGACUGUGAGGAGCUUCACGAACAUGGCUCUCUUCUUUUUGGUAUAUUUGAGUUUAUGAUAAACUACGUCAAUUUAUGGUGUGGAGAGAACGUAGAAAAGUCGUACUGUUCCCAUCAAGGGAAAUGUCUAUCACUUGAACCUUAAUAUGAUACCAUGUGUCACCAACUUGGUCCCCUUGCUUAGACCAUCCGCAAUGGUGAAACUCAUCGAAGUCCUUAGCACAACGAUAUUUUGGAUUAAUCUUGGAUUUUUUGGAUUUAAAAAAAAAAAAAAAUGACCAUUCACGGGCCGCCACGUAGUCAAUAGGACCCGUGAACAGUGUAAGGAUCAAUCCUUAUCAAAGAAUUUUAAAGAUUCUUUUUUACACAAACUCUAAGAAAGUGGGCUCCACAUCCUCUAAAGAUUCCUUUAAGAAUUCUCAUUGUGGAUGCUCUUAUAAACGGACCACGGUUUUAAACCUUUUUAUCAUGCGUAAGAAGCUAACUAGAUUUUGAUCUGUAGUUUUUUUAGCAAAAUUUUAUUUAACAAAAACCAUAAUAUAACUUAUGGUUAAAUUUGCACGUAUAAUAUAUUUACAGUUAUGAUAGUAACUAAUUUGUCUAAUUUAGUUCUUACAGAUUAAAUAUAUUUUACAAAUUAACCGGUAUGAUCAUUACAUUAUAUGGUCUAACUAUAUAAGCCAACAAACCAUUAUAGUAUUUUUAAAAUACAGCCUAAGUUAGAUGUAAUUUGUGUUCAGUAAAUAGAUUUUUGACAUCAACAUCUAGAAGUUAGACCAUAUUUUUUUUAUAUUAUCAUAAGCAGAAGACUUGUGUAAUUUAGUGUUUGCAUUUUUUAAGAAGAUGGAUUUCAUGUAUGUAUAAUUAUAUGCUACUUGACUAGUAUAAUAAAAUUUUUAAAUUAAUAAUAAUAUUAAAAUUAUAACACUUCUACACCAAAUUUGUGGUAAAAUUACAAAGUUAUCAAAUUUGUGGUAAAUUUAUAAUUUUUUAUUUGUUAUUCUGCCACUGUGUAAUAAUAUAUUUCUGGUACUCUAUACGGUAUUUUACCAAACGAGUCAGACGUAUGCUGAUACCGUUUAAACUUUGUCUUUAACCCAGUGGUAAACUUGUGUAAAGAUAAAAAAAAAAACAGAGCACGUGAGGCACGUGAUCCUCUCGGCUUAAUAUCAUCUCGACCAAUUCGAAAGCCCUAGAGCCAGAGUUCUCCUCUCUACUGUCCGAAGCUUUCUCCCCACCAACCCAGAUCUCAAUUCUCAUUCAGGUGAAACCCUUCGCCUCUCUCUCUCUCUCUCUCUCCCUCCUUCCUCGUAGCUUCUUCGUUUCAAUUACUGACGUUUCGUCUGAAUCGCGUUUUUGAUUUUUGGAUUAAAGGAUAAGAUGAGCAGCCGUUCGAGCCGAACUAUCUACGUCGGAAACCUUCCCGGCGACAUCCGCGAGAGGGAGGUCGAAGAUUUGUUCAGUAAGGUAUAUAUAUACAACUUUCGUUUCUUCUCAAUCAUCAAUUGGAUUCUUAAAAUGGUGGAUCUGAUACGAAUUGUAUUUGUUUCUGGUAGUAUGGACCUGUUGUUCAAAUCGAUUUGAAGAUCCCAUCAAGACCUCCUGGCUACGCCUUCGUCGAGGUCAAGCUUGUUAUACAAUUAACAUGUGUUUUAUUUCAUAAAUGAGCUCGCUUUCUGAAAGAUGUGAUGUGUUUGCUUUUAGUUUGAGGAUCCUCGGGAUGCUGAUGAUGCAAUUCACGGUCGUGAUGGAUAUGACUUCGAUGGCCAUUGUUUAAGGGUUUGUCAUUCAUUCAAAAUUCCACAACUUUGAGUCAAAAAGUUUGAAUUUUUUGAAGUGUUGUUUAUUAUAUUUGAUGCAGGUGGAGCUAGCACAUGGUGGGAGGCGUUCGUCUAAUGAUGCUCGUGGUAGCUACGGUGGUGGAAGUCGUGGUGGUGGCGGCGGGCGUGAUGGUGGUGACCGUGGACGUGGGCCAUCUAGGAGAUCUGAGUACCGAGGUACAUAUUUGAUUAGUUUAGGAUUGAUUAGUAUGUUGGAAGUUAGUGGAGAGAUCUCUAAUUUGUUUUUUUUUUUCCUACUAUACAGUUGUUGUGUCAGGUUUGCCUUCUUCUGCUUCCUGGCAAGACCUUAAGGUGAGCAUUUAAGACUCUUAAGACUUCAGUGUGAACAAACUCCUUUAAGUUGUUUGUGUUUAGGAUCAUAUGCGUAAAGGAGGAGAAGUCUGUUUCUCUCAAGUGUUCCGUGAUGGUAGAGGUAUCUUCUCAUAUCUUAGACAAGGACUAGAGCUGUUUGUGUGAUUUCUACAUGGAAAUGUUAAGUAGUCUGUGACCUGCUUUAAACAAUCUAUAUCUUGGACUGUUUAUAUACAGGCACAACUGGAAUCGUUGAUUAUACGAGCUACGAGGACAUGAAGUAUGCGGUGAGAUGUUCUUCUUGUUUCUUUUACAUCCCUCAUUUGUGUGGUUCCAUCCUUGGUUGCUCAUGAGUAUAUUCUUCAUUUUCAACAGAUAAAGAAGCUCGAUGACACAGAGUUUCGGAAUGCGUUUUCUCGUGGUUAUGUCCGGGUAAGCUAAUGCCAAAUAUUCGGAGUGGUGUAAUCUUUUUCGUUAUUGUACUUAACGUCUCCGUACAUCGUUAAUUAUAGGUUAGAGAAUAUGAUUCAAGGAAGGAUUCUAGAAGCCCCAGCCGUGGAAGAUCUUAUUCUAGGAGCCGCAGUCGUAGUCGCAGCCGUGGGAGGAGCCACAGCCGCAGUCUUAGCCGCAGCAAGAGCAGGAGCAGGAGUCCAAAGGCGAAAUCUUCCCGUAGGUCGCCUGCAAAAUCAACAUCGAGAUCUCCUCGCUCCCGCUCUAAGUCAAGGACACCACCUCCAAGAGGGUAAUGCUUUUCUUAUAUUAUGUUUAUGAUCUAAAAAUAGAAUAUGUUUGGCUCUUCCCUUGGAGUUUGUUGACAUCUCAUUAAAAUCAGUCAUUGGGGAGACUUCUGAGUUGUGUAUUAAGAAUGAUGAUUGCUUCUAGUUUAAGGGUAUUAGUUAUUUCCUUCUGAAAGUCUGGCCUUUUAUUGCUGAGAGUGGUUUUGUUUCCUAGAUAUGGAUAUACGUUCAAUCAAACAAAAAAUUGGGAAUUAAUGUCUGGAUCAUUGGAUCUCUUGGUUGGUUGUACACAAACUGUUUCGUCUCAGAGGUAUAUAUGCUCUUUCUUAGAUGGUGGCCACUUUGGAAUUAAAACUUUGUUUCCUUGUUUUCUGAUACUAUCCGUUCCUGCUAGAUGGGUAACAUGGGAGGGACAUUGGAUCGCAUUAUUGUAGUGUCAUCGAUAUGGAUCCAUUGAUGACAGAGCUAGGGAAAUAUUUUUUCAUUACCUGGAAAUUCACCAAGCGUUCUGGAUUCUCAUGGAACAGAUGCUGUUCUCAAUUCACAGGGGUUGAUAGAUUUAGAUUUUCAUCUUAGUUUAUGCUCUGCUAGAACUCGUCUUAACUUUGUGCUAUUUUGAUAACAUUUUGCAUCUCUGACAUGGAAUGAGGCAUCAAGGCUCUUGGUGAAACAGCUGUUAUACACGGAUAACAUAUUAGGAUUUUAAAACUGGAUUUUGUUUCUCGGAAUUUUGCAGAUCUCGUUCAAGGUCAAGAUCCCCUCUGCCUCCUGUAAGUGUACUUAAUCUUAGAAGCACUUUACUGAGCUCUAUAUAUGGUUUUUUUAAGCCAUACCAUCCAAAAGACAAGAUAUAUGUUUGUAAGCUAAUCACACACAUCAUCGUUUGCGUGUUGCAGGUUGAGAAGGAAGCAAGCAAGAGCCCUACCAAGGUGAGUCCAGCCAAGAGCCCUAUGCGUAGCAGAAGCAGGAGUCCCUCUCGGUAGUGCACACUACACUCUCUCUUUAUAACUUAUUUGGAACACAGUCUGACUCCUUGUCUGAAUCUUUCACCAACUUGUUACAGGUAAACAAAAAAGAAAAGAGAGCUGGGUUUUGUUGGAAGAUUCUCCUAAGGGAUCAUAUCUAUUUUAUGUUGUUCGUUUGUCUAAGACUUAAGAACCUAUAUUACUCUUGUUUUAUUUUAUUUUUAAAUGUAUAACUGCAACAAUUUGUGUUUAAGAUUCUCUUAAAAGAUCUUUACAUUUGUUUUUUAUAUUUUGAUAUAUUAUUGCAGCAAUAUGAGUUCAAGAUUAUUACAUUUUUAUUAUAUUUAUAUUUAUUAAAUACAAUAUAACCGUUUAACAAAAAACAGUAUUAAUAAUUAUAUCCAUGAAAUUUUUAUGUGAUUGGCUGAAUUGUAUUUAAUAAAUAUAUUUCAAAAAUUAUUUUUGAAAAGGUUGUUUUUUCAGUAUUUGUGCUGUUAGUUAAACUAUUAUAUUAUAAAAUGCAGGAAAAUAUAUUUUAACAUAACAAUGUGUGUUCUCUCGUUCUAUUGCAUUGUGUCGCGCAUUAUUCACUUGUUUGAAUGUGUGAUCCACAUAAAACGUAGUAUUAAACUAUUCCGGUUUAAUCGAACCGGAUAAAUACACAUUAAGAACUUUAUAGAAAUUAAAAAGUAAGCGAAAGUGAAGAGAAGAGUGGAUAAGACAACAUUAAAUUUCAGAGGCCGAGAGAGAAAGGAACCAUGGCGGAAGCUGGUUGCUUCUCCUUCGUACCAGAAGACGUCGUCUUCAACAUCUUCUUCAAGCUCCAAGACGAUCCUCGAAACUGGGCUCGCCUCGCAUGCGUCUGCACCAAAUUCUCCUCGAUCGUACGGAACGUCUGCUGUAAAUCUCUGUGCUACUCUUCAAUCCCCGCCGUCGUCUCCGAACUCCUCCCUUCUCCCUCCGCCGCUUCAUCCUCCUCCUCUCUUCCUCCUCCCGGCGGCUGGGCUUCUCUCUACAAACUCGCCGUCUGCUGUCCCGGUCUCCACCACGCCGGAAUCCUCCUCGAAAACUCCGAUUUCGGUUUAGAACGCGAGCUCGGUCCCGAUCAAAGCCUCACGGAUCCGGGCCAAGUUUCUAAACCAGUCGGAUCUGGUUUAGAAACGUCGUCGUUUCGGUCUGCUUCGAAACAAAACGGAUCUGGUUUAGAAAUGCCGUCGUUUCAGCCUGCUUCGAAACAAAUCAAAUCUGGUCUAGAAACGUCGUCGUUUCAUGGUUCGAAACAAACCGGAUCUGGUUUAGAGCCAACGUCGCCGUUUCAGUCUGUUUCGAAACAAGUCGAAUCUGGUUUAGAAACGCAGUCGUUUUGGUCGCUAUACGACGACCUCUACACUGACACUCUCUCAGCUCCGCCAGAAGAUUCCCUCAACGAACCACAACAACCCACCGAAACCACCGAGAUCCGACCCGGCCGCGGCGACCUCCCAGCCAAGAAACGCCGCAAGAUCUCCCGCUCCCUCGGAUCCCACCUCGCUCACGGAGGCUGGAGCCUCAGCCGCGAGCAAGGCACCAAGCUCCUCGCGAGCAGGUUCCGCGGGGACUGUCUCUACAUAUGCAACUGGCCAGGGUGCACCCACGUGGAGGAGAAGCGUACCUACAUGCUGUUCAGGGGCGUGUUCAAGGACUUCAAGAGGUCUAGAGUGUGGAGGACGAUCAACGAAGACGGCGGCGGGAGGAGUAAGGUCACGGGGCUGAAGUGCGCGUUUUGCGAGUGCGACGAGACGUGGGAUAUGCACUCGUCGUUUUGUUUGAGGAGAGUGUUUGGGUUUCAUGAUGAUGGUGAGCCUGUUGUGAGGGCUUAUGUCUGUGAGAAUGGGCAUGUCUCUGGUGCUUGGACGAAUUUGCCUCUCUACACUUGAAAAAGGUAAAAGGUCUUGUCUGAAUGUCUUUUUAUUGUUUGAUGCUUUGUAGGAAACUGUGAUCGUUUGUGUUGUUUGAUCCUAAUGUAUGUAUAAGAAACGAGAUUCAGUUUCAUCUUUGAUUGUACGGUUGUGUUUUAUCUACAAUUUGCUUUGUAGGAACCGUUAGCGUUUGCGUUGUUGAUUAUGAUUCAUGUAUAAGCUCUUACGUUGACAAAAUUAAUGUGGUGGUUUUUUAUAUGAAAUGGGAUUCACUUUCAUUUUUAUCUUAUUGUUGUUUCAUUAUCUUGAAUCUUGAUCUUAUGAUUGUUUUAUUGAUCAUAUACUAUCUUAAAUAACAAUUUUUGGGACUUAAUUUGUUGCUAAACAUGUUUUGUGAGACGAGCAUUGUUUCAUAAUGACCCUGAUGUGAGUGAUAAGUGUUGCUCAGCUGACUCGUAUAAAAAUGAAGGUUCUGGAUCCAUAAUGAUGUGGGCCUGUAUAAGCCCGUAUAAAUUUUGGUGUCUCGUCAAUUCACAUAGAAGAUUGCUACCUCCCAAACUCAAUGUCAGUCAUUUGACAAUGCCAAAACGCGAAGUAAACAAAUCCUUACUAGCAAAAUAGAGUAACAACAUUUUAGAAAAGAGGAAGUUUAAUAAACUUAAAAAGCUAAUAUAAUAACCCUUAGCUGUGUUCAAAAAAAAAAAAAAACCCUUAGCUAAUAAUAAACUUGGAAGCAAAACAUAAUAAUAAGUUCAUCUCUGGGACUAACAGUAUCUUCCUCACUUGUCUUCCUUAACGACAUCUACUGGUUUCGCUUCUUCCUUAACGGCUUCAUCUUUCUUGUCUCCUGGUUUUGCAAAUUCUGUUAGCAAUUACAAAAAGCAUUUUUCAUUACAACUAAUGACAAAACAGAGAAACACCAAAGUCUGAACAAAAUGUUUCCCUAAGACUACUUUCAUCAUCUCAAAUGCAGUUUGACUAACAAAGACAUUCAACUAGGCAAAGUGCUCUCAGUUCAUAAAGAAGAUGCGACACAAACAUAAACUAAGAAGAUCUUUAUAAACCCUUACCUUCAUCGUCACUGUCUUCAAACUCUUCCAUGCCACCCAUGCCUCCCAUUCCACCAAGUCCUUCAACUUCAGCCAUACCACCAAGUCCACCCAUGCCACCAAGUCCUUCCAUACCACCCAUUCCACCAAAGUUCUGCAAGAAGAAAGAAUCGACAAUGAAGUCAAUUCUCAAAGCUUAUAUAUAAAACAGAAGAUAGACAAGAUUCACAAGCUAGAAACAAACCGAGAAAUCCAUUCCACCCAUUCCUCCCAUAUCCAUAUCUCCAGCACCUAAAUCAAAACAAAAAUCAGAAACCAGUAAACACCUCCAGAACUCUAUAAAAAAGAACAGAAAGUAUACAUACACAAGAAUAGAAAAACAAGCUUUAAGAUGAAUGCUAACCAGCACUGCCUUCGUCAUCCUCAUCUACCCACUUAUCGCAAUCAAUCUUAACAUAGUGCGGCGCUUUCCCUCCACCGAUCAGCUUGUUCCACCUCUCAGGCUCUGCUUUCUCUAUUAUGCAGAAGAUGCUUCUUACUCCAAUAUUGAUCUUGCUUUCCUAAAAAAUCAAAGAAACGUUUCAGAACCUUGCACCAGGCAACAACAAAUGAAAAAAACAAACAAGACCAGGUUAGUCAAACGAGUCUCACCUCUACAUUGACUUUACCGUGAAGCUCGAGUUUAAGUUCAUAAACGUGGUUCUCAGGACCAGCUUCUGCAGAGAAAUCAAAGGCACCUUCAGGGUCUAGAUUAACUUUAGUCUCCUUUGAAUCCGCUAAUACUACUGUGAGGAAGAUCUUGUCAGUAGUCUCAGCCCACUUCACUUCAGGGUGACGACUGCAAAAUACAAAAGACACCAAACAGGUAAAGUAACUGUCGUCUGAUACAAUAACAUUAACUGGAACUUCAAUUAACACCAAAAUAAUAAAAUUAAAUUUAUAGCACAAGCUUAAACCCUAAAACCCUGAAUGCAACAGCUCUAAGAUUCUGCCAAUACAUUAAACCCUAAAUCCAAAUUAAAAAAACUAAUUCGAUUCUCCGAAUUCCUCAGGGAAACAAUGAUAGCUUAGAGUUAAUCCACCGAUACUAUUAAGAAUCAAGAGAAACACAUGAGGGAAAAAAUACGAUUCAUCAAAUGAAAUGGUUAAUGAGAGAUGAAGAAUAAGAUGAUGAUGAUGGAGUGAUGAAAGGGAUUCUUCUCUACCUCAUCUUUAAUGGAUGAAGCUUGGAGAAAGAAGAACCCUUAUUAGAGAAGAGAGAAGGAGCUACGUAAACACUAGACUCUUUUUUUUAUUUUAACUUGAUCUGAUUAAAAGAGUCUAGUGUUUACUGAGAGUGAGAGGUUACUGUCAAUUAAAGGAGAAACUCAACGACCAAAAUUCUUGUUUGCUAAGAAAACAGUUCACCUUUUGUCAUAACAAACCUUAUGGAUAAGUCAUAAGUAGAUAAGGGAGAUCAACUCAUAGUGGAAAUGAACUUGUCCAAGUAUGAAACUAACACGAAUAAAAAUCUUGCCUCCAUGGCUUAUUAAUAUUUAUUACACUUUAUAGUUAUGAUUACUCAACGUAUCAUAAAAAAAGAAAGAUAGAGCACUCAACGGAGCAAAAGUAUGUCUCUGAGGUUCUUCCAAGCAACUUGAGGUAGAUAGGAUACAUGGAACGAUCCUUACACCACCCCUUGCAAAACGGACGAGUUACACUAUUAUUGAGCACCACCUCAAACGAUUCGCCAUUCAACUUUGCUACGGUUCUUGGCAUGAGCCCUGUCGAGUCUCCGAGCACACAUUUUCUAUGCAAACUAGCCCGCUGAUCUUUACACGUGUAGAACCAUUCCUUUGAAUCGGUUUCUUUUUCACAGAUGUCACACCAAUAUUUACCACUUGCCUCCUCUUCUUCGCCAUAGCACAGUGAGAGAGGAUGAUCGUCUACUCUGUGCUUUACCACUUUUGGUUCAGUGGCGCAUUCAAAGCACAAUACAAAUCCACAAUCACCUUCAAUGCACCUGAGGACAUGUGGUUCCCUUCUGUUGCAACCAUUGCAUAUCUUGUCAUCGUUUUCUGUGGGAAUGUAAUAUAAGGGAUGGUGGGGAUGACUUGGAUGGACAAAUGGCUCAGAAAUUGAACCGCACAAGACAUCUAUCAUCUUAUCCCCAUCCUUGUACAUGAAACCAUUGGACCUUCGAUAGCAAGCAUCACAUCUGAAGACUUCUAGGUCCUUGUUUGUAUCUAAAGUGAGCCGUUCAUUGUGUAGCACAUGCCGUUUCCUUUUAGGACAUUCAGCACACUUCUGAUGGAGAGAAAAAUCACAAUCCACACAGGUAUAAAAGGAAUGGAGACCGACGGGAUGGGUGCAUGCGCUGCAUCGUUUGUUCUCCUCAUACAGAACACCAUUCCCAUGGAUUCGUCUUAGGUAAUGCACUUUGUGGCUGAAAUGUUGUAUUGUGUUUUCAUCUAUCUCCACAUAUGGUUUUGUGUCUUCUUCUUCUUCUUCAGGUACCCCUUCAAGUUCUUUCCCGUUCCACACAUCACCUCUGGUGGCACAUUUAGAAUGAACAACAUAGCCAGGACACCUCUUACAAGAAAACCCUCCACAAGUCCAGUCCACCUUCUUGCGACAAACUCCGCAUACAGAGUCCACAACACCAAGAAGCAAAGUACGAGAAACACGGUGAUCAUGCCGGUUGAUGUUAAUGACACGUGGAAGGCCAAUACAGUCUUGAUGGAUCAUGAAAUCACAUUGAACGCACAUGUAAGGGCUUCGAUCUCCCUUGAGACCGCAAGCAUUACACGUAAAAGAAAGCAGUCGUGGAAGAAGGGUGAGUUGGUGAUCAUGAGCUUUCAAAUCCACAGCAACUUGUGGUGGCGGGUGCAGAACACAAGGCAUAUCCAAGGUGAAGUUACAAGAAGAACAAUGAUAAAACAAUUCUUUGUCAACCUUUCUUCCGCAAAGACGACAUUUACCAUCAGAAUAGUCCGGUGGUGGACCUGUGAGGAGCUUAAGAGGAUGCAAGGAGUGGUAAGGGUGGUUUACCUCUGGUGAGUAAUUUAGCUUUGCUUCUGGGUGCCAUACACAAUCCACGUGGAAGGAUACAUCGCAUUCAUCACAUUUGUAAGGAAGUCCAACACGAGCCUUCCCGCAUUCAGCAGAACAGUCGAACAUAGUCCUAUUCUUGAGAAGUAUGAGCUUGUGGGGAUGCGUCUCGAAAUUGUCAAUAACAUUUGGUGGUUGGCGCUUGGCACAGUGUAGAUCCAAGUCGAAGUCACACAUGUCACAACGGUAGAAUAGCUUUGCGAUUUUCCAACCACAUAAAUCACAAUAGUUAUAACGUGAUUCGUGUCGAAGCUCGAGAGUGUGAUCGGGGUGAGAUGGGUGGUCGAUGUAUUCAGAGAGAUCGUCGUUGCCACAUUUCUUAUGGACGAAAAAGACACAGAGUUUACAAUAGUAGCCGUCACUCUGUGAUUCAUAUCUCCCACAACAAUCACCUUUCCUCAGAUCAUUCCAAGGCAUCAUAGGAUGCUCGUCAAACAAUGGUAACGACACUCCCUCAGAUUCCAUUUUGCUCUCUCUCUCGUAUACUAAAGAAGAUGAAGAAGAAGGAAAGUUGAAUAAUGGAGAUAUCUCUUGAAUAAUGGUGUGGUGCGUAUCCUCAAAGCUAUUAUCUCUUUCUCUGGCCACUCAAACAUUGUCCCUUGCAAAAAACGUGUCUCUGCUGCUAUCAAUAAUUGCUGCUACAGUUUUUUUUUUUUUUUUUCCUGAGUCUCAUAUAUAUCUGUUUGGAAAGUAUAUAAGAAUAAGAAGAGUUAUUUAUUUCAGGCAUACUAGUCAUUUUUUUUUUUUUUGGCUCUUGCAAAAUCGCUAGCUUACUUUUGCAGGAAUUAAGAAAGGAAGAUAGAAAAAACAGUCUCAGAUGUUUACUUAGACAAACAUAAUUACAAACUUGUAUACUCACUUCCGCUUGUCUAAUCAAAAUGCUUAUAAUCUUUUUGCAACCUUAGUUACUAUUGCAGAUUACUCUUGAAAUUGUGAGAGAGGUUGAUUAUAGCAUGGACCCCAAAGAGAAGCUUCUUAAUUCACCUCAGAGCAAAAAUAUUUACCUGAAGUUCCAAGAGAGAUUUUAUGAGAAUUAAGAAAGAUAGGAGAAAUUAAAUGAAGAACAUAGAAAAUAAUGAGAGACUUUCUUGAAAGAUAAUGAGAAAGGAGAAAUUGAAUUGCAUUGAUGUUUCAUGUAUCAAGAGUGCCUAUAUAGAAUGUAUGACCGCUUUACCUCCGGGGAAGCCGUCUAAUAACUGCUUCGUCGAGGUCAAAUGGUCUGUUGGUAGCAGCAAGCACCAGAACUCGUUCUCUGUAGGCUGCAGGAAAAAGUGAGAAUAUAUUUGAUGUACAGAAACGAGAGAAGACAAACAUAUUUAUCUUGAAAAGUACCUUGGUUAGCUGGCCUUUGUCAAAUAAUUCGGGUCUUUGAAGAGGAAGCAUGACCAACUCUUUCAAUGUGUCUUUCACAUUUUCUAGAGCUCCAAUAUCAUCAAACGAAACACCUAUAUCGCUAGGGGGAAUGACAUCUGAUAAGAGUUUUUUCUCAAAUUCGUUCUCAGUAACAACAUCCUGAAACAGCCAUAGCAAAGCAACUCUUAGAUCCGAAACUUACUGACUAACUUGGGAGGAACGAAAUAAAAUUACAUAAUAUUACCUUGAGUGAUUUCUUUAGACACAUGUUUUCGUUUUGAACACCCUGCAACAUCUGCAGGCCAUAUGUAAUGCUGCAACACAUGCCACAAUGUUAUUUUCAAAUCUAAGGCAGUAUUUCAGAAUAUACAACGAAGCUAACCUUUCCGCUGAGAUAACAAGCUUGUUGUCUUUGACUAUAGGUUCUGAACAGUUCAUAAGAUGGUGGCUGAAGGCCCAACCAACCACUUUCUCAGCACCUAGAAACACAUAUAGUAAUUGGUUAGUCACCAUCAAAGCAGAAAGAAAAUAAUAAAAAAGGGUAAGUGAAAGAGGCCCACUUUCGGGAAGAAGGGUUUGAUCUUUGAUGGACAAGGUUCCAAGGUCAGGGCAGUCCAGACGGUUUUUGGUGAGUACCUGUAGGCAUUAUUAACAAAGACGUAAGCCCAAAAAAAAAAAACAGGAACGCUUAGAGCAAAAGGACUUGAUAAGAAGAUGCUCACUCCAAGGAUGCUGGUUAUAUUAGCCUGAACUUUCAAAAGCUCUGUAUCACGGUCCAGUUUCUCCUUCCAGUCCGAGAGCAAAGCUUCAGCCUAUUAUGUCUUAAAGAGCAUAAGAAAGUGAAAAACAAAAUGAACCCAGACGAGAAGAAAUGAAUAAAGAUAUCGACCUGAGGUAACUGGAUGGCGACUUUGUUAGGAAAUAGCCGAGUUAUUUGUUUCAUUGAUUUAGGUGUUUCUUUGCUCCUGUCGUGCAGCUUACUAAAAUUAUCCUGCAGAUGAUACGCAAAAUAACAUUCAACAUCUCAAAAACAUUCAAUGCAAUUUCGAAAGUGGAGAUGUAGAGAAAUGUAGAGAAAUUCAAACACUGAUGGAUAUUGCGCUUGGGCUUUGCGACUUUGCACAAUAACUCAUAAAGUGAUUUUGGUCACACAAUAGAUCGUAGCUUGACACAGAAGUUACGGUUUAUGUCGGGGAAACCUGUGAUUUUGGUGUCGAUAUGUAAAGUUUACCACCUGAUGAAACUGAAAAGUAUCAAACACUAAGCUUGGGGCAGCAAUCUGAACUCACAAAAGGAGCAAAAGAGUCCCAAUUUCCAUGGUAAUUAACUUCACGAUUUCCUUCUAUAGUAGUUUAUAGAGAAAUGCUUUGAUAAACAAUCAUUUUCCACCCAAGAGAAGAGAGAGAUACAUCUUUCUUCCAUGUUUGAAUAGGCAGAGAGACAACACAAAGAAUGGUGAUGUGUAGGACAACAACACUCGGUUACACUAUGAUUCACAGUGAUUGUUCUUUUAGUCCUCAAGAAUUUGUUACCUAUAAAUUUAUAAGAAAACAGCUCACUUUUUUUUCGAAAAAUAAAAAUAAGUUCGAUAGAGAUCAUCAAUUCAUAAUGGAAGUGAACUUGUCCAAGGAAGAAUAUAAGAAACUUAAACCAAUAAACAUCACUCAAUCCAAAUAUGCACAAGAAACGGAGCAAAGGUAUAUCUCUGAGGUUCUUCCAAGCAACUUGAAGUAGAUAGGGUACUUGCAACGAUCCUUACACCACCCCCUGCAAAACGGACGAGUUACACUAUUAUUGAGCACCACCUCAAACGAUUCGCCAUACAACUUUGCUACGGUUCUUGGCAUGAGCCCUGUCGAGUCUCCGAGCACACAUUCUCUAUGCAAACUAGCCCGCUGAUCUUUACACGUGUAGAACCAUUCCUUUGAAUCGGUUUCUUUCUCGCAGAUGUCACACCAAUAUUUACCACUUGCCUCCUCUUCUUCGCCAUAGCACAGUGAGAUAGGAUGAUCGUCUACUCUAUGCUUUACCACUUUUGGUUCAGUGGCGCAUUUGAAGCCCAAUACAAAUCCACAAUCACCUUCAAUGCACCUGAGGACAUGUGGUUCCUCUCCGUUGCAACCAUUGCAUAUCUUGUCAUCGUUUUCUGUGGGAAUGUAAUAUAAGGGAUGGUGGGGAUGACUUGGAUGGACAAAUGGCUCAGAAAUUGAACCGCACAAGACAUCUAACAUCUUAUCCCCAUCCUUGUACAUGAAACCAUUGGACUUUCGAUGGCAAGCAUCACAUUCGUAAAAUUCUCGCUCUUUGUUUGUUACUAGAGUGAGUUGUUCAUUGUGUAGCACAUGCCGUUUCCUUUUAGGACAUUCAGCACACUUCUGAUGGAGAGAAAAAUCACAAUCCAUACAGUCAUAAAAGGAAUAGAGACCGAUGGGAUGGGUGCAUGCGUUGCAUCGUUUGUUAUUCUCGUACAAAACACCAUUCCCAUGGAUUCGUCUUAGGUAAUGCUCUUUGUGGCUGAAAUGUUGUAUUGUGUUUUCAUCUAUCACCACAUAUGGUUCUAUGUCUUCUUCUUCUUCAGGUAUUCCUUCGAGUUCUUUUAGGUUCCAUACAUCUUUUCUGGUAGCACAUUUAGAAUGAACGACAUAGCCAGGACACCUCUGACAAGAAAACCCUCCACAAGUCCAAUCCACCUUCUUGCGACAAACUCCGCACACAGAAUUCAUGGCAUCAUCACCAAGAACGGAAGUACGAGAAACACGGUGAUCAUGGCGAUUGAUGUUAAUGACACGAGGAAGGCCAAUGCAGUCUUGAUGGAUCAUGAAAUCACAUUGAACGCACAUGUAAGGGCUUCGAUCUCCCUUGAGCCCACAAGCAUUACAUGUAAAAGAAAGGAGUCUUGGAAGAAGCUUGAGUUGGUGAUCAUGAGCUUCCAAAUUCACAACAGAUUGUGGUGGCGGAUUCACAACACAACGCCAAUCCAAGGUGAAAUUACAAGAAGAACAAUGAUAAAACAAUUCUUUAUCAACCUUUCUUCCGCAAAGACGACAUUUUCCAUCAGAAUAGUUUGGUGGAUCACCUGUAAGGAGCUUGAGAGGAUGCAAGGAGUGAUAAGGGUGGUUUACCUCCGGUUGAUGAUCUAGUGCUGCUGGGUGCCAUACACAUUCCACAUGGAAGAAGGUUACAUCACAUUCAUCACAUUCUUCACAUUUGUAACAAAAUCCACAAGAAAAUCCUACAGCAUAUGCAGAAGUCUUCCCGCAUUUUGCAGAACAGGGGAAGGCCCUCCGUUUCUUGACAAGUGUGAGCUUGUGGGGAUGCAUCUCAAAAUUGUCAAUAACAUUUGGUGGUGGGUACUUGGCACAGUGUAGAUCCACGUCGAAGUCACACAUCUCGCAAUGAUAGCACAGAUUCUGGAUUUUACUAUCACAUAUAUCGCAUACGUAACCUUCUCGUAUUUUUUGAAGCCGGAGAGUGUGAUUGGGGUGAGAUGGGUGGUGGUCGAUGAAUUCAGAGAGCUCGUCGCCACACUUCUUGUGCACGAAGAAAUCACAGAGUUUACAAUAGUAGCCAUCACUCUGAGGUUCAAAGCAAUCACAACAAUCACCUUUCCUCAUAUGAUCAUUCCAAGGCAUCAUAGGAUGCUCGUGAAACAAUGGUAACAACACUCCUCCCUCAGAUUCCAUUUGGGAAAGAAGAUGGGUAUUCUCAAAGCUAGAUCAAAUUUUCAACGCAAGAUUAGAUGGUUAAUCUCAAAGGCCUUCUUAAAAAAAACAAUAGACUUACUGUUCAUACCUGACUUUUGGUGGUCAUUUUAAAAUAGUUAAUCAUUGUUGAUUAAUUAGUUCACUAUAUUUACUUAUUUAUGACAGAAACUGACAAUACAACUAGUGAUAAAUUAUUUUUUCUUUUCUCGUAGAACUUGUCGAUAUAUGGGAUGGUUGCAUGUGAUGAUAAUAAUUGCACUAGCUGUACAUUAGUAUAUUGAAUAAACAGCUAUUCCAAGGUAUAUGCCGUGCCUAAUCCUAUUAAAUAAGUAAAUGUGAUUGAUACUAACGGCUAUGCAAUUGACUGACAAAGUCAGUUCUCAGUUUCUCUGUGUGCGCCAAAACGCUAAGUUGCAACCACUACAGGUUUUAUCUUCGUCCAUAUGAAUGUACGUAAUACAAAGGAAUCCCUAAGGGAGGAGACUUGACGGUAUACAUAUAAUUCAAAACAACACUUCCUGAAUUUGGAAACAUAAGCCAAAGUCUCAAACACUACUUGGUACAGAAGUUACUGCUUAUGUCGGGAAAAUCGUUGAGAUUACCCUCCUCAUGUCUCAAACACUAAGCUUAGGGCAGAAAUCUAAACUCACAAAAAGGACAAGUAAACUCCUCGAAACAAGCCAUCCUGAUACGUUGCGGAGUUGCAGGAGUGUCCAAAGGGAACCAUUUCCUGCCAAGACCCACUUCAAUCUGAUUGAGCAAUGGCACACGGUAGCUUCCUCAUAUCAUUGAAAGACAUCAUAGAUGCUCGUGAUACAAGCAUUUAAUAGUCAUCUUCACUUGUCUUCCUUAACAACAUCUACUGGUUUCGCUUCCUCCUUGACGGCUUCAUCUUUCUUGUCUCCUGGUUUUGCCAAUUCUUCUGGAAUUACAAAAAGCAUUUUUCAUUACGUAUUUACAACUAAUGACACAAACCUGAGAAACACCAAGUCUGAAAAAAAAUGAUUCCUUAAGACUAGUUAACAUCAUCUCAAAUGCGAUAUGAACAAAAAAAAUCCAACUAGGCAAAGUGCUCUCAGUUGAUCAAGAAGAUGUGACACAAACAUAGACUAAGAAGAUCUUUAUAAACCCUUAUACCUACUCAUCAUCACUGUUUUCAAACUCUUCCAUUCCACCCAUUCCAUCAAAGUUCUGCAAGGAAAAGAAUCGACCAUGAAGUCAAUUUUCAAAAGCCAGAUGUCUUUGAUGCAAAAGAUUAGUCAACAUUCUAGAAACAAACCGAGAAAUCCAUUCCAUCCACUCCUCCCAUAUCCAUAUCUCCGGCACCUAAAUCAAAUCAAAAACAAAAAAAAAGCAGAAACGAGUUAACACCUCCACAACUUUAUAUAAAAUGCAACGAGUGAACAUACACAAGAAUAGCUAUACAAGCUUUAAAGAUGAAGGCUAACCAGAGCUGCCUUCGUCUACUCACUUGUCCCUCCACCGAUCAGCUUGUUCCACCUCUCAGGCUCUGCUUUCUCUAUUAUGCAGAAGAUGCUUCUUACUCCAAUAUUGAUCUUGCUUUCCUAAAAAAAUCAAAGAAACGUUUCAGAACCUCGCACCAGGCAACAACAAAUGAAACAAACAAGACCAGAUUAGUCAAACGAAUCUCACCUCUACAUUGACUUUACCAUGAAGCACGAGUUUAAGUUCAUAAACAUGGUUCUCAGGACCAGCUUUCGCAGAGAAGUCAAAGACACCUUCAGGGUCUAGAUUAACUUUAGUCUCCUUCGAAUCCGCUAAUACUACAGCCCACUUCACUUCGGGAUGACGACUGCAAACACACAUGAUAAAGCAUAUCACCUUUCAAGAACAUAAGCAAACAUAACAAAAGAGAGACACCACACCAAACCAAACAGGUAAAGUAACUGUCAUCUGAUUCAAAUACCAUUAACUUGGGAACUUCAAUUAAUACCAAAAUAAUAAAACCAAGUUUAUAAAACAAGUUUAAACCCUAAAACCCUGAAUCCAACAGCUCUAAGAAGAUGAUGAUGGAGUCAUGAAAAGGGAUUCUUAGUCUAGAGAAGUGACGCAAAGAUUAGACUCUCUUUUUUUUUACUAGCUUUGAUCUGUAAAAGCUCCACAUGGGAAAACGGCCAAUUCAUACAUCAACAGGGGGUCCCGGUCCCGAUCAGUACAUGCACUCAACACCUGUGCUAAAACAUACAUUAACAAAAUUUAAAUUUAAAUUUCAUACAUCAACUUACACUUUUAGGCCAAUUCAUACUUUGACCGUGUUGCCGUUAGUCAAAUUAUAACGGUGUCUUAUGUGGACAUAACGGGUUAUUACGUGGAUCAAGAGGGUGAUUACGUGGAUUAAGACUCGAAUGUUAAAAGAAAACGACGGCGUUUUGGGGUAUUGAAAACGACGCCGUUUUGUGUUUUCAGAAACUAAAACCAUUUUCUUCGUUGAAGUUGCGACAAUAGGGAAGCAUCAAACUUUGAGAAAGACGAGAUUGAGAAAGACGAGAUUGAGAGAAGAGAAUCGCUAAUGUCUAGCUCAUCUAACCUUAAUUCUUCGUAUGGUACAGGUAAACACAAUCAAUUUUGUCUUGAAUCAAGUUUUGUGUGGAUGUUUAAUUGAGUUAUAUCUAAGCAGCAAUGAGUGCGAAUCUGGAUCGCCGUAGGGUUGAAAAAGAAAGAGGGUUUCCGAGUUUUUGUAAGAAGUGUGGAGAAGCUGCUAAGAUUUUCACUUCUAAGACCAUCAAAAACCCAGGAAGACUUUUCCAUGGUUGUCCUAAUGGGAGUGAAGAGGUACAAAAUUAGACUUUGUUUGAGUUUCUUGUGUCUUUUCUAAGAUAAAGCGAAUUGACUUUGUUUGGUUUAACUAUAGUGAACGAUUUUCUUGUGUAGGAUAAGAAUCAUUUGUUUAAAUGGACUGAUGAAUCUGCUGUAGAAGAAAUUGAAGAUAUGAAGAGCCAUUUGGUGCUUCAGUCUCAGAGAUGUGAAGAUGUAACAAGAAGCUAUGACAAAAAAAUUGAAGAUUUGGGUGAUGCUCUAGCUGGAUUUGGGAAAGAGAUGAAAGAGAUGAAAGAGUUGGUUGAUGGGUAUGAGAAAGAUGUGAAGAACUUGAAGAAGAUGGUUGUUUGUGGAGUUGGAAUGAUGGUAGUGUAUUACUAUUUUGCUAUGUAGUUGUGUGCAAGAUUGGACUGAAUGUUAUCAAUUUUCGGAUAGAAAAUUCAUCUCGGAUUGUUGGUUUUUCUAGGUGUUACGGCUUGUAUUAUGAACGAGAACCUAUUAGGAAUUUGUCUUCUGUUUUAAUAUAAGAAGUUUGUUGCAAGAUUGUCAUAGCAUAAGUUUUAUCCGAAAUUAUCAUAGAUGCUGUUAAGUUUUGAAACAGAAAAUUAUCAUAGCAUAAGUUUUAUCCGAAAUUUUACAAAGGAGAUUAAUAAGUUUAGAAAAGAGAUGACUUAACAGCAUCUUAAGUCACAACUAAACAAACCGACAACAUCUAAAACACCAAAAACCAACAUUCUCGUCACUAAGCCGCUUCCUACUUGAAAACAUACCAAUUUCACCAAAAACCAUCAUCAAACUCAUCUUUCUUCAAAAUACAUGAGAACCUGAAUAAGAAGCAAAAUAUGUGUUGUUACAAGAGACUGACAAGUUCAAUGAUUAGUGAAAUCUAAUUAGGAAAGCAAACCUGAAGUUAGUCAUUCAAGUUGGAUGUUUGCGUUGGCUGACUUGGUCCCGGAGCAUCACGUUGAUCGAAUGACAUUGACUCUCCUUGUGAGGACUGUUUCUUCUUCCUUGGAUAAAUCUUUCUUGGUUUGUUAGGGACUCCAGCAUGUUUACAAUGUAGAGAGUUAUGCCCAGCCAUACCACAUCGAUAACAAUGAAUCACCUUCAAGUGUCUAGACACUUUCUUGCCUUUAGUAGGCGACUCAUGAAUCGACUUCAUCCUCUUCUUUGGAUUCGUCUUCCGUCCUUUCUCAGCAGGUCUUGGCGGUGGCUCAAUCUGAGAACCAGGAGUUUCCUUCCAAAACUUCAUUCCUUCCACCGGAGUGAUUGAAUCACUAUAUUGCUGCUUCCACAAAGUCGUCAAGUAACAAUCCGCCACAAAAUCUUCGGCAUUAAGCUUUUUAUCUAAAAUCACCUUCAAAGCAUGACGACAAGGAAUUCCGGUUAGGUCCCAUCUUCUGCAGCUACAUGCUCGCCUGUCCAUAUUGACAGUGUGAGAAACGUUAUUCUCUUCUACUUCUGAGACACCAUUCGGACCAGGUGUCCUUUUCUUACACCAUUUCCGUUGUUCCCCCUCUUCAAUGAUGGUCUUUGCAACCUUUUCGCUAUACUUCUUCCUAUACUUCAACAAUUUCUUCUUCCUCACCUCAAUUCUAACCAUUGUUUGUCUUCUCAUGGUCUCAAGCAUUUCCACUAAAGGCAGAGAACGAGCUUUCUUCAGACCGCUAUUGUAUGACUCUGAGAAAUUGUUGAGUCCAUCUUCGCAAGUAGAAAUGGUGCUGAAGAAUGCCCGAGUGCAGGUUCUAGGAUCUCUCGCCAUCAAGUCAUCAUAUAUCUGAGAGUCGAAUGCUUUAAGCUCUUUAAGUGCCGCUUUAUAAUCACCUUCGUUGAAGCUAUUUGCCACUGCCCAAAACAGUUUUUUAAACUUAGGCUUGUUGGGAUGUAGCUUCUUAACGUUUCCGUAUACGUGUCUAGCACACAUACGAUGCUCUAUGUAAGGAAGCUCUUCUUCAACAGCUUUUAUAAGCCCCUGUAAAUAAAAAAAAACAGUAAGAAAAUAUUUAAAAUUAGUGUAUUGUCUGUGUAUUCAACAAUUCAAACAAAAAUAUUAAAAAACUUACCUUUUGUUUGUCAGAGAUAAGUGUGAACCCUAGACCAUUUUGGAGGUUUAAAUCAUACUUCACCCUUUCAAUGAACCACUUCCAAUUGUCGGCGUCCUCAACUUGAACAAUGCCCCACGCAACAGGAUAUAUUUGGUUGUUUGCAUCUCUUCCCACAGCUGCAAGGAGUUGUCCUUUUGAAGUAGAUUUCAUAAAGCACCCAUCAAUUCCAAUAAUGGGUCGACAAUAAGCUCGCCAUAUUGUCUUCAAAGCCUUAAAACAGACAUAGAACUUGUCGAAGAUCUCAACACCAUCAUCUCUAAUUGUUGUUACAAGAUCACACGAAGAUCCCGGGUUCGUCCUGUCAAACAAAACGAAGCAAGAAAAUUAGAACUAAACUCAACAGUUAAAUUGAAACAAAAAUGUUAAAAACAAAAUGUACUCUAGGAUAUGCUCUUUAUAGUCUUUUAUCCUCGCAAACUGUUCAUCAAACUCGCUGCUUAUCAUCUCCAAUGCUCUCUUUCGGGCCUUUCUAGCAAUAUCAUGUGUCACUGUCAAGUUGUAUCUGUCUUGAAUGAUAUCUUGUAUGAACCUUGGCAUCAAUGCAUUGUUGUGCCUAAUCUCAUUUAUGAGAAGCUUAGCAAUCGCAUAGUCAGUCAAUAACUUGCAAUACCCGUCUUUGGUACAAGAAUGCUCUUCUUGAUAUGACUUCACCAUGUACAAAUUCACCGCUUUCUCAUAAGAACAAUAGACUCUCCAAGUACAAGGAACCUCACCCACUACAGCACACUUUGCCUCGGAAAUUUCAUCUCCCCAUCUUGUGUAUUUGACAUUCCAACCUCCCAUUAAUGCAUAUUCUAACACAGCUUCCUUGAACUCGCUUAUGCUUUCAAAAACCUGCAUAAUUUUCAACUCUCCACUUCCUCCUCGCCAUCUUUCAUAUCCAUUUCCGAUAUCAUCAUCUUCAUCAUCCGAGGCUGGAGGUGUAUCUCUAUGAGCUUCAUUGUACUCUUCCUCAUCGACAAACUCGCCAACUAUAGCUGCUACACGCUCAUCCCGCGGGUCUGGUUCAACAUUCUCUCGUGCUUCAUUCAUUUCUAUUUCAGACUCAGCACCAUCCUGCGGACCUGAUUCAUCAUUCCCCUGAUCUGAUUGACCACCCUGCGGACCUGAUUCACUCUCUUCAGCCUCAUUGUUAACGUCCUCAUGCUCAAGAUACACUUCCACGGUAUCUACCCAUUGUGUCGCAUCACACAUCUUUUGGAAGUUUAAACCACCAUCACACAAAACCUUUAAAUCUGAUAAUGUUUCAUAGGGAAACUUGUACCAAACUCGCUGCCCAUACAUAUCAACAAUUUCUGCCGAGAUUAUCCCACCAAAUAGACUGUGAGGAGCGGUUUGGAGAUAAUGAACUUUUCCACCGAUAUAGCAAAGACCUUCUUCCAAGUUCUCAAACUUCCCAUCAUAGCUUAUAAUAAACGUAAUAUCAUUCUCCCCACUGCAACAAUUAUACAACACAUCAGUUAAUCAUGAUUAUUUUUUCAUUGACACAUUUCAUCAAACACCUUGUGUGCUCUCGAAAUUAUUCUUCUUUUUCCUAACAGAAACUUACCUCAUUGCAAGUAAUCUCUCAUACACUUGCUUUCGACUCCUCUAAAUCGUCUUCUGUCAGCACUUCUCUCGAAAUUCUCUUCUCUCAAUCUCGUCUUUCUCAAAGUUUGAUGCUUCCCUUCUGUCGCGACUUCAACGAAGAAAAGUGUUUUAGUUUCUGAAAACACAAAACGGCGUCGUUUUCAAUACCCCAAAACGCCGUCGUUUUCUUUUAACAUUCGAGUCUUAAUCCACGUAAUCACCCUCUUAAUCCACGUAAUAACCCGUUAUGUUCACAUAAGACACCGUUAUAAUUUGACUAACGGCAACACGGUCAAAGUAUGAAUUGGCCUAAAAGUGUAAGUUGAUGUAUGAAAUUUAAAUUUAAAUUUAGUUAAUGUAUGUUUUAGCACAUGUGUUGAGUGCAUGUACUGAUCGGGACCGGGACCCCCUGUUGAUGUAUGAAUUGGCCGUUUUCCCAGCUCCACAUAGAUUGUGCGUAGUAGUCGAAGUGGUUUUCCUGUACGAGCUAGUGUACAAGACGUUAGGUGCGUCACGAUGAAUACACGGUGGGAGAUUCAAAGGCUGGGGCUUUUACAGAUCUAACGGUUAAUAAUAAUAUGAACAGUUUGAGUAAACAGUAAUGAAGGCAUUCAAAUUUUGACUGAGCAAAACUGGAGCCACCGGAUUUUAUUUAGCACCAAACUCUUCUUGCCUUUGUGCAACGUUAAGGAAGUAGAAGGAUAACAGUUGUUUAUUUCAGGCAUAGUAGUCAAUGUUUUUUUGGCUCUUACAAAAUCACAGCUUAAUUUUGCAUAAUUAGAAUCACUAAUCAUCGCCAUUUUCCCAUGGAUGGUUUCUUGUCAUCUGAAAGUUGUGCUGCUUCCUUUCAGGGCGUGGAUAUAGUGAUCUCACUCACGCAGUAUCCAGCAGUAUUCCCAUGGAUUAUGAUAGCGUCCAAAGAGUCUUUCUUCUUCUAUUCUUGAAUAGCCGCUGACAACACAAAAGAAUGGUGAUAAUGUGUUGGGACAACACUUUUUUUUAGGUCCCGUAGAAUCUGUUAUUCGCUAGACCAUGAUUAACCCGGGGUUCUUAGAGUGGAGUUCUUAGUAGAAGUUAAAAAACUGUUUCUUAACUUUUAACUAAAAACGCUAAGAACCGGUUAGAAACAAUUUCUUAACUUCCGGUAAGAACUUCACUCUAAGAACUACGGGUUAAUCAUGGUCUAAGAAACUAAAAACUAGUAAAUAUCUUGCCUCCAUGAACCUACUUUAUUACACUUUAUAGUGCUCAAUUAAAACUCAACCACCAAAAUUCUUGUUUGCUAAGAAAACAGCUCGCAUUUUUUUAUAGCAAACCUUAUGGAUAAGAUAAGUAGAUUAGGGAGAUCAACCCAUAGUGGAAAUGAACUUGUCCAAUGAAGAAUAUAAGAAACUAAAUGAAUAGAUAUCUUGCCUCCAUGGCCUACCAGUUUUACACUACAGUUUUAAUGUAUGUCUCUGAGGUUCCAAGCAGACCAUGUCUCCAUUUAAAGAAUUAUACACAACGAAUAGAGCAAUAGUGCGUCUCUGAGUUUCCAAGCACCUUGAGGUAGAUAGGGUACAUGCAACGAUACUUACAACUGCUGCAAAAGGGGCGAGUUACAUUAUUGUUGAGCACCACCUCACACGACGACUCUACUAUGCUUCUUGGCAUGAGCCCCGCAAAGUCUCCAAGCACACACCUUCUAUGCAAAGUAGCCAAGUGAUCUUUACACGUGUAGAACCAUUUCUUUGGAUUGGUUUUUUUCUCACAAAUGUCACACCAGUAUUUACUACUUGCCUCUUCUUUUUCUUCGCCAUAGCAAAGUGAGAGAGGAUUAUCGUCUACUCUGUGCUUUACCACUUGUGGUAGAAUGGCGCAUUUGAAGCACAGUACAAAUCCACAAUCACGUUUAAUGCACCUGGGGACACGUUGUUUUGGUAUAUUGCAACCAUUGCAUAUUUUUACUUUUUCUGUUGGGAUGUAAUAUAAGGGAUGGUGGGGAUGACUUGGAUGGACAAAUGGCUCUGAAAUUGAACCACACAAAACAUCCAACUUCAUAUUCCCAUCCUUGUACAUGAAACCAUUGGACCAUCGAGAGCAAGCAUAACAACUGAAGACUUCUAGGUCCUUGUUUGUAACUAAAGUGAGCCGGUCAUUGUGUAGCACAUGCCGUUUCCUUUUAGGACAUUCAGCACACUUCUGAUGGAGAGAAAAAUCACAAUCCAUACAGUCGAAAAAGGAAUAGAGACCGAUGGGAUGGAUGCAUGCGUUGCAUCGUUUCUGCUCUUCAUACAUGAUACCAUUCCCAUGGAUUCGUCUUAGGUAAUGCUCUUUGUGGCUGAAAUGUUGUAUUGUGUUUUCAUCUAUCUCCACAUAUGGAUCUGUAUCUUCUUCUUCUUCUUCAGGUACUCCUUCGAGUUCUUUCCCGUUCCACACAUCUUUUCUGGUAGCACAUUCAGAAUGAACGACAUAGCCAGGACACCUCUGACAAGAAAACCCGCCACAAGUCCAGUCCACCUUAUCACGACAAACUCCGCACACAGAAUUCAUGGCAUCAUCACCAAGAACGGAAGUACGAGAAACACGGUGAUCAUGCCGGUUGAUGUUAAUGACACGUGGAAGGGCAAGACAGUCUUGAUGGAUCAUGAAACCACAAUCAAAACAUGCGUAAGGGCUUCGAUCUCCCUUGAGCCCGCAAGCAUUACAAGUAAAAGAAUCGAGUCUUGGAAGAAGGGUGAGUUGGUGAUCAUGAGCCUUCAGAUCAACAAGAAUUUUUUGUGGUGGGUUCAAAACACAAGGCAUAUCCAGUGUGAAGUUGCAAGAAGAACAAUGAUAAAACAAUUCUUUGUCAAUCUCUCUUCCGCAAAGACGACAUUUACCAUCAGAAUAGUCCGGUGGUGGACCUGUGAGGAGCUUAAGAGGAUGCAAGGAGUGGUAAGGGUGUUUUACCUCUGUCGGAUGAUCUAGUGGUUUUGGGUGCCAUACACAAUCCACGUGGAAGGCUACAUCGCAUUCAUCACAUUUGUAAGGAAGUCCACCACGAGUCUUCCCGCAUUCAGCAGAACAGUCGAACUCAGUCCUAUUUUUGAGAAGUAUGAGCUUGUGGGGGUGCGUCUCGAAAUUGUCAAUAACAUCUGGUGGUUGGUGCUUGGCACAAUGUAGAUCCAAGUCGAAGUCACACAUGUCACAGCGGUAGAAUAGCUUUACGAUAUCCCAACGACAAAAAUCACAAUUGUUACUUGACUCGUGUCGAAGCUGGAGAGGGUGACUGGGGUGAGAUGGGUGGUGGAUUAAUUCAGAGAGCUCGUCGCCACAUUUCUUGUGGACGAAAAAGACACAGUUCUUACAAUAGUAGCCGUCACUCUGUGAUUCAUAUCUCCCACAACAAUCACCUCUCCUCAGAUCAUUCCAAGGCAUCAUAGGAUGCUCGUCAAACAAUGGUAACAACACUCCCUUAGAUUCCAUUUGCUCUCUCUCGUAUACUAAAGAAGAUGAAGAAGAAGGAAAGUUGAAUAAUGGAGAUAGAUCUCUUGAAUAAUGGUGUUGGUUGUAUCCUCAAAGCUAUAUCUCUUUCUCUGGCCACUCAAACAUUAUCCCCUCUCAAGUUUCUUUCUUAUUUUAUUAUUUUUUAUUUUUUUUUGAAAACCCCUCGCAAAAAACGUGUCUCUGCUGCUAUCGAUAAUUGAUUACUUGUUUAUUGGGCUAAUUGGCUUAAUAGCCACAUUUCGGUGAGAAAUCAAGAAAAUUGACAUGAUUUUGACAUAAUAUAUUCAGUGACUUUUUGUCUUUAUUCCUCCCGGUUAUAGCCUUUUAUGUAACAGGUUACCGGUUCCAACACAUGGAGCAAACAACGUGGUGGUUUUGUGUCCCAUAAUAACAAUGAAACACUUUAGGAAGUGUGGGGAUAAACCAUAUUCAAAAUUAAAGGGAGGAAAAGAUGCAGGGAGAGAAGUUGAUGAAAAAUGUAAGUGUAAAAGAAACAACGUUAAACAAACGGAGAAUCCAAGAACUGUAGUUCCAUACUAUAUAUUUUAGAUAGCAUAAUAUAAAUACAAAUAUAGUUCCAAUUGAAAGAGCAUCUACAUUGGACAGUUGAAAUGUGCAUGAUACAAGCAAAGUAUGUAAUACUUUACCCAAAAUAAAGACAGAUAUUGCAAAAAUAAGUUACCAUCUUAUGUUCCCUUCAUAACACUGUAAAGAAGUUUAAUUUCCAUUUAACAACUACUACUACACAUAAUAGAGAUACUAUUUUAUAUAGCGUAGAACUAUUCCAUAUGGUACCAUAACCAUAUCAUUUAUACAGUUGGACGCAAAUCAAACGCAACGUACUGGUGGUUGGGUUAUAGAACACAAGAUAGAAACGGAGAAUAAGAAGAACAAAGUACAAACUAUCAGGACGGAACAAAACAUGUCCAAAUAUGUAGUCAUUUUGUAUUGGUUUGUUCGAUGAAAUAGAUGCAAAUAGUAUGUACUAUGUUAUUUACCUGAGAACUACUAAUUUUCAACUCUCCACUUCCUCCUCGCCAUCUUUCAUAUCCAUUUCCGAUAUCAUCAUCUUCAUCAUCCGAGGCUGGAGGUGUAUCUCUAUGAGCUUCAUUGUACUCUUCCUCAUCGACAAACUCGCCAACUAUAGCUGCUACACGCUCAUCCCGCGGGUCUGGUUCAACAUUCUCUCGUGCUUCAUUCAUUUCUAUUUCAGACUCAGCACCAUCCUGCGGACCUGAUUCAUCAUUCCCCUGAUCUGAUUGACCACCCUGCGGACCUGAUUCACUCUCUUCAGCCUCAUUGUUAACGUCCUCAUGCUCAAGAUACACUUCCACGGUAUCUACCCAUUGUGUCGCAUCACACAUCUUUUGGAAGUUUAAACCACCAUCACACAAAACCUUUAAAUCUGAUAAUGUUUCAUAGGGAAACUUGUACCAAACUCGCUGCCCAUACAUAUCAACAAUUUCUGCCGAGAUUAUCCCACCAAAUAGACUGUGAGGAGCGGUUUGGAGAUAAUGAACUUUUCCACCGAUAUAGCAAAGACCUUCUUCCAAGUUCUCAAACUUCCCAUCAUAGCUUAUAAUAAACGUAAUAUCAUUCUCCCCACUGCAACAAUUAUACAACACAUCAGUUAAUCAUGAUUAUUUUUUCAUUGACACAUUUCAUCAAACACCUUGUGUGCUCUCGAAAUUAUUCUUCUUUUUCCUAACAGAAACUUACCUCAUUGCAAGUAAUCUCUCAUACACUUGCUUUCGACUCCUCUAAAUCGUCUUCUGUCAGCACUUCUCUCGAAAUUCUCUUCUCUCAAUCUCGUCUUUCUCAAAGUUUGAUGCUUCCCUUCUGUCGCGACUUCAACGAAGAAAAGUGUUUUAGUUUCUGAAAACACAAAACGGCGUCGUUUUCAAUACCCCAAAACGCCGUCGUUUUCUUUUAACAUUCGAGUCUUAAUCCACGUAAUCACCCUCUUAAUCCACGUAAUAACCCGUUAUGUUCACAUAAGACACCGUUAUAAUUUGACUAACGGCAACACGGUCAAAGUAUGAAUUGGCCUAAAAGUGUAAGUUGAUGUAUGAAAUUUAAAUUUAAAUUUAGUUAAUGUAUGUUUUAGCACAUGUGUUGAGUGCAUGUACUGAUCGGGACCGGGACCCCCUGUUGAUGUAUGAAUUGGCCGUUUUCCCAGCUCCACAUAGAUUGUGCGUAGUAGUCGAAGUGGUUUUCCUGUACGAGCUAGUGUACAAGACGUUAGGUGCGUCACGAUGAAUACACGGUGGGAGAUUCAAAGGCUGGGGCUUUUACAGAUCUAACGGUUAAUAAUAAUAUGAACAGUUUGAGUAAACAGUAAUGAAGGCAUUCAAAUUUUGACUGAGCAAAACUGGAGCCACCGGAUUUUAUUUAGCACCAAACUCUUCUUGCCUUUGUGCAACGUUAAGGAAGUAGAAGGAUAACAGUUGUUUAUUUCAGGCAUAGUAGUCAAUGUUUUUUUGGCUCUUACAAAAUCACAGCUUAAUUUUGCAUAAUUAGAAUCACUAAUCAUCGCCAUUUUCCCAUGGAUGGUUUCUUGUCAUCUGAAAGUUGUGCUGCUUCCUUUCAGGGCGUGGAUAUAGUGAUCUCACUCACGCAGUAUCCAGCAGUAUUCCCAUGGAUUAUGAUAGCGUCCAAAGAGUCUUUCUUCUUCUAUUCUUGAAUAGCCGCUGACAACACAAAAGAAUGGUGAUAAUGUGUUGGGACAACACUUUUUUUUAGGUCCCGUAGAAUCUGUUAUUCGCUAGACCAUGAUUAACCCGGGGUUCUUAGAGUGGAGUUCUUAGUAGAAGUUAAAAAACUGUUUCUUAACUUUUAACUAAAAACGCUAAGAACCGGUUAGAAACAAUUUCUUAACUUCCGGUAAGAACUUCACUCUAAGAACUACGGGUUAAUCAUGGUCUAAGAAACUAAAAACUAGUAAAUAUCUUGCCUCCAUGAACCUACUUUAUUACACUUUAUAGUGCUCAAUUAAAACUCAACCACCAAAAUUCUUGUUUGCUAAGAAAACAGCUCGCAUUUUUUUAUAGCAAACCUUAUGGAUAAGAUAAGUAGAUUAGGGAGAUCAACCCAUAGUGGAAAUGAACUUGUCCAAUGAAGAAUAUAAGAAACUAAAUGAAUAGAUAUCUUGCCUCCAUGGCCUACCAGUUUUACACUACAGUUUUAAUGUAUGUCUCUGAGGUUCCAAGCAGACCAUGUCUCCAUUUAAAGAAUUAUACACAACGAAUAGAGCAAUAGUGCGUCUCUGAGUUUCCAAGCACCUUGAGGUAGAUAGGGUACAUGCAACGAUACUUACAACUGCUGCAAAAGGGGCGAGUUACAUUAUUGUUGAGCACCACCUCACACGACGACUCUACUAUGCUUCUUGGCAUGAGCCCCGCAAAGUCUCCAAGCACACACCUUCUAUGCAAAGUAGCCAAGUGAUCUUUACACGUGUAGAACCAUUUCUUUGGAUUGGUUUUUUUCUCACAAAUGUCACACCAGUAUUUACUACUUGCCUCUUCUUUUUCUUCGCCAUAGCAAAGUGAGAGAGGAUUAUCGUCUACUCUGUGCUUUACCACUUGUGGUAGAAUGGCGCAUUUGAAGCACAGUACAAAUCCACAAUCACGUUUAAUGCACCUGGGGACACGUUGUUUUGGUAUAUUGCAACCAUUGCAUAUUUUUACUUUUUCUGUUGGGAUGUAAUAUAAGGGAUGGUGGGGAUGACUUGGAUGGACAAAUGGCUCUGAAAUUGAACCACACAAAACAUCCAACUUCAUAUUCCCAUCCUUGUACAUGAAACCAUUGGACCAUCGAGAGCAAGCAUAACAACUGAAGACUUCUAGGUCCUUGUUUGUAACUAAAGUGAGCCGGUCAUUGUGUAGCACAUGCCGUUUCCUUUUAGGACAUUCAGCACACUUCUGAUGGAGAGAAAAAUCACAAUCCAUACAGUCGAAAAAGGAAUAGAGACCGAUGGGAUGGAUGCAUGCGUUGCAUCGUUUCUGCUCUUCAUACAUGAUACCAUUCCCAUGGAUUCGUCUUAGGUAAUGCUCUUUGUGGCUGAAAUGUUGUAUUGUGUUUUCAUCUAUCUCCACAUAUGGAUCUGUAUCUUCUUCUUCUUCUUCAGGUACUCCUUCGAGUUCUUUCCCGUUCCACACAUCUUUUCUGGUAGCACAUUCAGAAUGAACGACAUAGCCAGGACACCUCUGACAAGAAAACCCGCCACAAGUCCAGUCCACCUUAUCACGACAAACUCCGCACACAGAAUUCAUGGCAUCAUCACCAAGAACGGAAGUACGAGAAACACGGUGAUCAUGCCGGUUGAUGUUAAUGACACGUGGAAGGGCAAGACAGUCUUGAUGGAUCAUGAAACCACAAUCAAAACAUGCGUAAGGGCUUCGAUCUCCCUUGAGCCCGCAAGCAUUACAAGUAAAAGAAUCGAGUCUUGGAAGAAGGGUGAGUUGGUGAUCAUGAGCCUUCAGAUCAACAAGAAUUUUUUGUGGUGGGUUCAAAACACAAGGCAUAUCCAGUGUGAAGUUGCAAGAAGAACAAUGAUAAAACAAUUCUUUGUCAAUCUCUCUUCCGCAAAGACGACAUUUACCAUCAGAAUAGUCCGGUGGUGGACCUGUGAGGAGCUUAAGAGGAUGCAAGGAGUGGUAAGGGUGUUUUACCUCUGUCGGAUGAUCUAGUGGUUUUGGGUGCCAUACACAAUCCACGUGGAAGGCUACAUCGCAUUCAUCACAUUUGUAAGGAAGUCCACCACGAGUCUUCCCGCAUUCAGCAGAACAGUCGAACUCAGUCCUAUUUUUGAGAAGUAUGAGCUUGUGGGGGUGCGUCUCGAAAUUGUCAAUAACAUCUGGUGGUUGGUGCUUGGCACAAUGUAGAUCCAAGUCGAAGUCACACAUGUCACAGCGGUAGAAUAGCUUUACGAUAUCCCAACGACAAAAAUCACAAUUGUUACUUGACUCGUGUCGAAGCUGGAGAGGGUGACUGGGGUGAGAUGGGUGGUGGAUUAAUUCAGAGAGCUCGUCGCCACAUUUCUUGUGGACGAAAAAGACACAGUUCUUACAAUAGUAGCCGUCACUCUGUGAUUCAUAUCUCCCACAACAAUCACCUCUCCUCAGAUCAUUCCAAGGCAUCAUAGGAUGCUCGUCAAACAAUGGUAACAACACUCCCUUAGAUUCCAUUUGCUCUCUCUCGUAUACUAAAGAAGAUGAAGAAGAAGGAAAGUUGAAUAAUGGAGAUAGAUCUCUUGAAUAAUGGUGUUGGUUGUAUCCUCAAAGCUAUAUCUCUUUCUCUGGCCACUCAAACAUUAUCCCCUCUCAAGUUUCUUUCUUAUUUUAUUAUUUUUUAUUUUUUUUUGAAAACCCCUCGCAAAAAACGUGUCUCUGCUGCUAUCGAUAAUUGAUUACUUGUUUAUUGGGCUAAUUGGCUUAAUAGCCACAUUUCGGUGAGAAAUCAAGAAAAUUGACAUGAUUUUGACAUAAUAUAUUCAGUGACUUUUUGUCUUUAUUCCUCCCGGUUAUAGCCUUUUAUGUAACAGGUUACCGGUUCCAACACAUGGAGCAAACAACGUGGUGGUUUUGUGUCCCAUAAUAACAAUGAAACACUUUAGGAAGUGUGGGGAUAAACCAUAUUCAAAAUUAAAGGGAGGAAAAGAUGCAGGGAGAGAAGUUGAUGAAAAAUGUAAGUGUAAAAGAAACAACGUUAAACAAACGGAGAAUCCAAGAACUGUAGUUCCAUACUAUAUAUUUUAGAUAGCAUAAUAUAAAUACAAAUAUAGUUCCAAUUGAAAGAGCAUCUACAUUGGACAGUUGAAAUGUGCAUGAUACAAGCAAAGUAUGUAAUACUUUACCCAAAAUAAAGUCAGAUAUUGCAAAAAUAAGUUACCAUCUUAUGUUCCCUUCAUAACACUGUAAAGAAGUUUAAUUUCCAUUUAACAACUACUACUACACAUAAUAGAGAUACUAUUUUAUAUAGCGUAGAACUAUUCCAUAUGGUACCAUAACCAUAUCAUUUAUACAGUUGGACGCAAAUCAAACGCAACGUACUGGUGGUUGGGUUAUAGAACACAAGAUAGAAACGGAGAAUAAGAAGAACAAAGUACAAACUAUCAGGACGGAACAAAACAUGUCCAAAUAUGUAGUCAUUUUGUAUUGGUUUGUUCUAUGAAAUAGAUGCAAAUAGUAUGUACUAUGUUAUUUACCUGAGAACUACUAUUUCAUGUAACAUAUAUCAUGUUAAUUAUAUACUAGCUGCAUAGUAUAUCUUGUAUAUAUUUAAGUAAUCUAAUGGGAGGUUGGAGACAUGUAUUUACAUUCCUAAUGAGCCACAUGAAAUACAAAACUAAUGGGGAUGGUAAUAAAACAGUUGAUAGUAAUCAUUAAACCCAAGUUAAAGAAAUAUAAACCCCAAUACAUAGGCAACCGAACCCAUAUAUUUUCGAAAUUAAAUUCACCUGCCAUAAUAGUGGAGAAAUGUAUUUACAUUCUUCAUGAGCAACAUGAAAUACAAAGCUAAUGGGUAUGA
rnacentral:lncRNA from 1 species